rnacentral:rRNA from 1 species
GAUGAACGCUGGCGGCGUGCCUAAUACAUACAAGUCGAGCGAACAGACGAGGAGCUUGCUCCUCUGACGUUAGCGGCGGACGGGUGAGUAACACGUGGAUAACCUACCUAUAAGACUGGGAUAACUUCGGGAAACCGGAGCUAAUACCGGAUAAUAUAUUGAACCGCAUGGUUCAAUAGUGAAAGACGGUUUUGCUGUCACUUAUAGAUGGAUCCGCGCCGCAUUAGCUAGUUGGUAAGGUAACGGCUUACCAAGGCGACGAUGCGUAGCCGACCUGAGAGGGUGAUCGGCCACACUGGAACUGAGACACGGUCCAGACUCCUACGGGAGGCAGCAGUAGGGAAUCUUCAGCAAUGGGCGAAAGCCUGACGGAGCAACGCCGCGUGAGUGAUGAAGGUCUUCGGAUCGUAAAACUCUGUUAUUAGGGAAGAACAAAUGUGUAAGUAACUAUGCACGUCUUGACGGUACCUAAUCAGAAAGCCACGGCUAACUACGUG